UCCCCGCACAAGACGGGUGCGACCCCUAG
rnacentral:sRNA from 1 species